rnacentral:rRNA from 1 species
GACGAACGCUGGCGGCGUGCUUAACACAUGCAAGUCGAGCGGAAAGGCCUUUCGGGGUACUCGAGCGGCGAACGGGUGAGUAACACGUGAGUAACCUGCCCUGGACUUUGGGAUAACCCUCGGAAACGGGGGCUAAUACCGGAUAUGACUUCUGCCCGCAUGGGUGGUGGUGGAAAGUUUUUCGGUCUGGGAUGGGCUCGCGGCCUAUCAGCUUGUUGGUGGGGUGAUGGCCUACCAAGGCGACGACGGGAGCCGGCCUGAGGGGGCGACCGGCCACACUGGGACUGAGACACGGCCCAGACUCCUACGGGAGGCAGCAGUAAGGAAUCUUCGCAAUGGACGCAAGUCUGACGGAGCGACGCCGCGUGCGCGACGAAGCCCUUGGGGUGUAAAGCNCUUUUCUCGGGGAUGAGCAAGGACAGUACCCGAGGAAGAAGCCUCGGCUAACUACGUG